GGAGCCAUAAAGCAGCCCUGGCAGGCACUUCCAAAGAUGAAACCAAGCAGCACUGUCAUCCUCUGCUAACCCAGGGCACAGCAGAUGAGACAUUUUGAUGGCGCUUGCCUCGCCUGCCACAAUGAUGUCAUUUUUCUCAGUGACAACACCGGUGCAAACACAUCCCAAGCCCUCUCCAUACUUCGGGGAGGAAAUGAAGUACGUUUUUCGUGUUGCAGGAGCGUAACAAAAGCUGGCAUCUGCAUAGCUGCCAUGCCUGGACCUGAUGCCAAGGGAGUUGUUGCCGAUGCAGAGCAGGAGAUCCGUAGUCUCCAUGCCGUACCUCAGGCUGAGGGAAGGGUGGCUGGACAGCUGGAUGGUUUUCAGUGCUUCCUCGAACAUAUCAUUGCAUUCUGAAUUGCACAGAAUAAUUGUGUUCCUUUUCCGGGCUUCCACAAGAAAAGAGGGGCUGACAAGCACCAGUCUCACUUGCUUGAGGAGCUCAACAAGGUGUUCUAAACGUGACUCUCUGCUGUGCUUGACCCAUCUAAUGACGAGGUCCAGAAUGCUCUCCUCCCUGGAAAUAUUCAGGUCAUCUGAUUUGAUGAGAGUCAGCAGCUGCUGGAACUCAAUCUCUAGAAUUUCUUCCUGCAAGCUCACCUCAGCAAAAUGCUGAUACAUGUAUUUCCUCGCUUGGUCACAUAAAUCUUCCGCCCCGAUGUGGUUUGCAAAGUAAUAGAUGCCCACACAGUUGGAAGCAUCCAUGUGGUCCAUCAUGUACUUCUGGCACAUAUUGCACACCUCUUCCAUCUGCAUGAAGAAGGCGGCGAGGGCGACAGUCUGCACGUUGUGGCUGGUGAGGCGCAGCUCGGCGCUGUACACGUAGUGCAGGAUCACGGACACGCUCUCGGCAGAGAUGUCGUGCAGCACCACCUCCCUCUGCGUGCACUCUGCCAGGCCACACGUGAACAUGGCUCUGAAAUAGGCGCUGAAGGCAGCCAGCACCACCUUAUGGCAGGGGAAUUUCUCUCCCUCUGCAACCAGCACCACAUCGAUUAUCUGUGUUGAUUCCUUCAUCCUCUUUACUUGCUCCAAUAAAGUCAAGCUGUGGCGCUGCUUUCUCUUCUCCUCAGCCUUGCGAUCCAUGGUUGAUCUCCAAACCACCUCUCUUUAAAUAUCCUCAGAACUAAAGGUCUUCAUGGGGAAUGUAUCUAGACAUAGAAGCAUAAUAUUGUUCAAUAAGAGCAAACUAUUGGGCAAAUGAAUGUUGCUGUGAUUGCCUAAAGUUAAUAAUCGGUAUGGUGUGAUAUGAAUCAAUAAGGUAUAAAUAUGGUGCAAAAUUAUGGUGAAAUCUCGGGUUCAAGGCCUCCAAGACAAAAUAUAAUAAAAACCAACACUUCAAAUGACCUUCAGUAUUCAAUACCUACCCCCAAAUUCUGUGAUUAUUUAAAGACUAUUUCAGACUUCCUUCAAAGCAGCCUUUUUCAACUGCCUUCUCCCUCUUUUCCCUGAUUCUGAUACACAGGCUAUAAAAAUUGAGCUGAGAGAGUCAAUGCAGUGUUGUGGGUAGAGGCAGAUUUUACCACCAAGGACUGAUAGUGAAAUGGCAGGAAGCAGCUUGGUCCAACUGGCCAGAUUCUUUUCUCGCUCACACCAAAGCAUAGGUCACUGGUUUCUACAGAGUUGCUAAUGGUUUCCUUUGGAAGAAGUAAAGUAAACAGAAUAAAUAAAAUCAGUAAAUAGA